GAUUAUGUGGAAAUCUCAAACGAGAUUCGGGAACAAGCUGCUCAAUCCGUCCAAAUGGUGCAAAUGAUGGAGAAGGCAAAGAAUUCAAGGGGUGAACUUGUACAGUGUAGAAUGCUCCGAAUGUCAAGGAAGGCUUGGCACAUAUCCUUUGAAAUAGAGUGUGAAUAAAGACAAAUGUUAACAUGC